rnacentral:sRNA from 9 species
UCACACAGAAAGUCCUGGAAGCGGCGAUUACCGCCCAGUUCCAUCAUGCGGAGAUGCAAUGGCUUCCAAGCAUCCAAGGAAGUAGACUG